rnacentral:rRNA from 1 species
AUUGAACGCUGGCGGCAUGCUUUACACAUGCAAGUCGAACGGUAACAGGCCGCAAGGUGCUGACGAGUGGCGAACGGGUGAGUAAUGCAUCGGAACGUGCCCAGUCGUGGGGGUUAACGCAGCGAAAGCUGCGCUAAUACCGCAUACGAUCUAUGGCUGAAAGCGGGGGCCCGUAAGGCCUCGCGCGAUUGGAGCGGCCGAUGUCAGAUUAGGUAGGUGGUGGGGUAAAGGCUCACCAAGCCAACGAUCUGUAGCUGGUCUGAGAGGACGACCAGCCACACUGGGACUGAGACACGGCCCAGACUCCGACGGGAGGCAGCAGUGGGGAAUUUUGGACAAUGGGCGCAAGCCUGAUCCAGCAAUGCCGCGUGCAGGAAGAAGGCCUUCGGGUUGUAAACUGCUUUUGUACGGAACGAAACGGUCCUGGUUAAUACCUGGGGCUAAUGACGGUACCGUAAGAAUAAGCACCGGCUAACUUCGUGCCAGCAGCCGCCGUAAAAC